UACGGGGGGAGCAAGCGUUGUUCGGAUUUACUGGGCGUAAAGGGCGCGUAGGCGGCCACCGCAAGUCGACUGUGAAAUCUCCGGGCUUAACCCGGAAAGGUCAGCCGAUACUGCGGGGCUAGAGUGCAGAAGGGGCAACUGGAAUUCUUGGUGUAGCGGUGAAAUGCGUAGAUAUCAAGAGGAACACCUGAGGCGAAGGCGGGUUGCUAGGCUGACACUGACGCUGAGGCGCGAAAGCUAGGGUAGCAAACGGG
rnacentral:rRNA from 1 species